GUGAAAUUGUCCUUGCAACUGCUCCAUCAGGCCCAUACUUCCUAGGACGUCCCCUUUUCUUCUUCUCUGAGCUAAUUGGAAAGGCGGUAGCCACCGGAGGGGGAAUCACCGCCAAUGUACCAGGUGGUAUAGGAGUAGAUUCUGUUCUAGAUACCAUAUGAUAGUUUGAUGGAGCUUCUGGAGCUAUAGCUUCCCUUGACUCCAUUUUUUU
rnacentral:misc_RNA from 1 species